CAAAACCAUGCCAUCCAUCCACAUCAUUACUUGGGAAAUCGGCCAUCAAAGAUGAUAUAAGGUGGUUUCGAUGAUUACGACGGCUACUAGAUUGCAAUGAUAUCUCUGCCGCCUCCACAGGAGAAGCAGCUGAAGAUAGCAGCGGAAAAUGACCUGUCUGACUUCCAGACUCGGACUCAACAGUUGGGAGCAGAGUCCAAGGAGAAAUUUCAGAAGAACUACGAGUACUACUGCUUGCUAAGUUUUGAUAAGGUGUCCAUGCAGUAGGAAAAGUUUGCAUACUUGGCCCACUGCUGAGUGCAGAACUAGAAGGCGUAUUUCUGGAAUAGCUUCCAUUUGAAGUGGCUAAACUCCAAUUAGUGGUAUUCUGUACAAUAUUUCCAGUCCCAGGAACAGGAACAAAUGGAAGAGGUUCCCCAUUAUUUCUUAAUGAG
rnacentral:misc_RNA from 1 species